rnacentral:lncRNA from 1 species
UUUACUUUUAAAAAUGACAAAAAGCUCGUGAAGUUUAUCCUUUUCAACUUUUAGGAACCAAUGGACCUAUCACCCUCCUUAACUAGAACUUGAGCUAUAAAUACUUGACAUAGCUUCACUCUCCAAAUAUACCAAAACAAAUUCAAAUCCCAAAGUUAAUUUUCUUAGAAUGAAGCUCUUGUGGAAAACUCACAUAAGGGUACAAUUGAGACUAUUUAUCCUUACCCUCUAUUAUUCUCAUAUUCUGUUCUUAUAAUAGUGCACAUGCUUAGACAAAUUCUGCUACAUUUUUUCUACUUACAUAAUUUAUUUAACAAUUUUUUUCAUGACUAUGUUGAUUUUACAGGUAAUUAAAAUAAUUUUUGUUCN